rnacentral:rRNA from 1 species
UGGGGAAUAUUGGGCAAUGGGCGAAAGCCUGACCCAGCCACGCCGCGUGAGUGAUGAAGGCCUUCGGGUCGUAAAGCUCUGUGGGGAAGGACGAACAAGCUGGGUGUUAACACCACCUGGCCCUGACGGUACUUCCUUAGCAAGCACCGGCUAACCAUGUGCCAGCAGCCGCGGUAAUACAUGGGGUGCAAACGUUGCUCGGAAUUAUUGGGCGUAAAGCGCACGUAGGCGGUCCGUUAAGUCGGAUGUGAAAUCCCUCGGCUCAACUGAGGAAGUGCAUCCGAAACUGGCGGGCUGGAGUACGAAAGAGGGUCGCGGAAUUCCCGGUGUAGAGGUGAAAUUCGUAGAUAUCGGGAGGAACACCGGUGGCGAAGGCGGCGACCUGGGUCGAUACUGACGCUGAGGUGCGAAAGCGUGGGGAGCAAACAG